UACGUAGGGUGCGAGCGUUGUCCGGAAUUAUUGGGCGUAAAGAGCUCGUAGGCGGUCUGUCGCGUCGGUCGUGAAAACUUGGGGCUUAACCCUGAGCUUGCGGUCGAUACGGGCAUGACUGGAGUUCGGCAGGGGAGACUGGAAUUCCUGGUGUAGCGGUGAAAUGCGCAGAUAUCAGGAGGAACACCGGUGGCGAAGGCGGGUCUCUGGGCCGAUACUGACGCUGAGGAGCGAAAGCGUGGGGGGCGAACAGG
rnacentral:rRNA from 1 species